rnacentral:rRNA from 1 species
ACUUCAACCUGCGACCCCAGGUCAGGCGGGACUACCCGCUGAGUUUAA